GUGGCCGUUAUCUCAGGAGAGAGAAGUGAAGAAUGAGUGGAAUCUUGCACUUCUGCAUCCAAAUGAUCACCCAUCAGUACAUUCUGAUUCAAAUAUAAAGUGAAAAAGAUAAAAUCUGUGGAGAAGCUGCGUUCCUGGAGGCUCACCGUUCAUGUAGACCUACUCAUUCCCCCGAGCAUGCUGAGUCCAGCCUUGCAGAUAAAGAAUUUAACCCAGAAAGAAAAGGUUUCCUCAUUCGAAAGUGCGCUGAAAAUACUGCACAUGUGUGAAUUCGAGAAUAACCGCUCGGGGAGUGGGCGAGGUCGAGGUUUGAAUUAUCCUGGUAGAAACAUGCUUUUGCCCAUUUUCUUAAACAUCGUGAAUCCACUUCCAGCCAGUUGUACACAUUAUGAGGGGGAAAUAUUUUAAGGGAGAAUUUACUAGUUAUCUCAAAAUUUCAUUGGCAAAGACUGACUUAGAGAGGAAAUAUACAUUGAAAAAUUAAUUUUCCGACUUUGGCUUCGUCAAAAGCAAACUAUGUUUCAUUUCCCAGCCACAUGCCCUCCACGGUGACGCCUGUUUGGUGGUUUCUGUGAUGCGGUGAGACACACCCGGAAACAGCCUCGCUGAGUGCUCAUCCGGCUCUAGGUCUUCUUGAUCUAGUUCUGGAAAAACAUCAUACUGGAGGAGGCAGGAGCCCCAAAACCAGUGAGAGACAAGUCCGGUGCCCUGGGAAGAAUGUUUCACUUCUCAUGUGGACUUCCUGUUAAUUUCUUCAGUGUGGCCCCAGGAAACAGUGCGUUUGAACCUUUGUACAGGCGCACUCCUCACAGUCGGAGGGCGGGAUCACAGAGCACACGGAAGCCUACGCGGCUUCUGCCAAACACCAUACUGACCCAGCUAAAUGCUGCGGGUUCGUCUCAUGCUCCUAUUUUCCUGCCUUCACCUGUGGACCAUCAUGAUGAUGAAAUAGAAAAAUAAAUGUAAAAAAUACAGGCCUGAAACAGCAAGUUUCAAAGACAGCUCAAGUUGAUAACAGUGGAGCACGUCUCGAAGUUUCCUUGCUAGGGCCAUGAGUUUUGGGUGAAUAAUAACAAAAACAUAUGACAAUCCAUUAAUCAUUUUAUAUUUAAUAUGUAAAAUGUAUUUGUUAGGCCUUUAUUUCAAUGAAAUUACUUAUUUUUUUAUAAUUAAAGUUGUCACAUAAGUUAUCUUCCAUUGAGUAAUGAUGGACUCAGGGUCAGCCGCCCUUGGACUAGACACCUGUUUUGUAAGUAAAGUUUUAUUGGAACAUGGCCAUUCCCAUUUUGUGAUGUAUCAUCUAUGGCUGCCUCCUCUCCGCUCUGCAGAGUCAAUGGCUGCGACAGAGGCUGUGGCCACCAGGCCUAAAAUAUUGAUGACUCAGCCUUUUCAGCAAAUAUUUUGAAACCCCUGAUUUAAAGGACUGACAAGUAAAAUAUUGUAUCCAAGGCAUAACAAUUUUUUUCUUUUUCUUUUUUCUUUCUUUCUUUCUUUCUUUCUUUUUUUUUUUGAGAUGGAGUCUUGCUCUGUCGCCAGGCUGGAGUGCAGUGGUGUAAUCUCGGCUCACUGCAAUCUCCAUCUCCCUGGUUCAAACCAUUCUCCUGCCUCAGCCUCCUGAGUAGCUGGGACUACAGGUUCGUGCCACCAUGCCCAGUUAAUUUUUGUAUUUUUAGUAGAGAUGGGGUUUCACCAUGUUGGCCAGGAUGGUCUUGAUCUCUUGAGCUUGGGAUCCACCUGCCUUGGUCUCUCAAAGUGCUGGGAUCACAGGCGUGAACCACUGUACCCGCUUGGUAUAACAAAUUUUAAUAUAGUUUUUAUCAAAAACAUAAAUGUUAAAAAUAAAAAAGCAAAUUCAGCAAUGCUUCAAAGUUAUUUUUCUUAUAAAAUAUUUCAAAAUGACUAAAAUUAAAGUGUACAAUUCAGAUGAUAACAUAUUAAAUGUUUAAAUAAAAAUUGUUAAUUUUAUUUACAGCUGAAACUCUAGAAUUUUGGGGGAAAUUUAAUGAAGUGCUUUGAUAAACUAAGAUUACAAUGCUAGCGUUCAGCCUCCAUCCUGUUGCCAGGACAGCCAUUCUCAGGAGCGCACAGUGCUGCUUAGCUGCUGUGGCGACUGCUGGGAUUUGAGCACUUCUGGGAUGACCCGCUGGGGUGUGAGAAUGGGGGCCAGUGAACGCCGGUGGCGGAGGCAGCUGAGCGGGGCUGGGGGCCACACCCUGCUAUGGGAGCCCGUCACCUCCGCACUCUCCUCUAGCAGAGAGUGUGCGAGAGUUUACGUAUUUCUUUCUUCCCUGAGUGUCCUGUUGCCCCUGAAGCUGUGUCCACCUCUGAGGCUGCUCACACCUCCAACCCUCCUGGCAUCGGGACAGUGGCCUUUUGUGUCCAGGAGAGAAGCAGUGGCCAGUGUGUGAGGAGGUCCCCUGAGAGCGGACGUUUAGGGGGAUGGAGGACCUGAGUGCGGGGUACCCCACAGGAGGACGGUCCAGGAUCCGUAAGAAAUUUCCUGUGUCUGUGUUGUUGGUAUGCAGAUCCCUCUACAUUUAGCCUUUGACAAUUGUCACUCAUUUUAUUAAACCUCCCGGGUAUUUAUCCUCUGAAAAGUCGCCCUGGGCCAAAACUGCAGUUCAUAUUCAGGCAACUUCACAGCUUCUUCCCUGGAUUCUGAUCGUUUUCAAAAAUAAAGACACCGAGUCUCUUGAAGUGAACUCCA